CAGUCCAUCAUCAGCACGGUACGCAAUGAGCUGAUCAGAAUGACCGACAAACCGAUGGACGGAACGAGCUCGCAAUGACGCGACGGCCAUCAAACACACGCUCCUCGUGGAAAAGAGCGCGUACUGGAGCGAAUGUGUGUGCAGCUGAACCUUCUAGCAGCCCGGUGACGGCUAUGAACCCCGGGCAGGUUGAUAUUUAAAGUCAACCACCCUACUAGACCAUCACGAGCGACAGACAACCGAGCAACACACCCCAUCGAACGGGCUAAAGGGGUUUCGUAAGUUUAUAUGCCGCCGCCGUUUAAUGAUGUACGCGCGCAUUGCGGGAUAAUCGAAUGUCCUUACCGAUGAUAAACACGAACGAACAUGGCCAUCUUUCCGGCAGGCAUAUCUUUAUAUGUUUCAACUAUAAAGCGUUAGCUGCACAAUAAGCAAUUGAGGACAGACACUAAAAUAGACCGAAAAAGAUAAAAUGUAAAUGAUGAAAAAGAUGUAAUUGAAUUCAUUCCAUUACAACCAGACACGCACUCUGCUCUCCUGGUAGUCGAGUCGAGGUUUUAAAUUUCGCUGUGGGAAAUAAAUUAAAUUUAGCGACAUCCGUCAGCUUAUUUUGA